ACUUUUACUGUUUUUACAUGAAAGCAUGAUUCAUUGAAAAGAAAAGAGAAAAGAUUUCAUUUUGAAGCUUUGAAAUUUUUGUCUCCUGUCCUUGUGUGAUGAGUCGAGAGGGAGGUGAGUUUCAGCCCGGUGGCUGCUCGACGCCGGCGACGCCACGGCGGCAAAGGCACCGCCUUUUUCCUCUUCCUGCCAACGAGAGAGAGAGAGAGGAGGAAUUAGAUUUUCAGAUUCUGUAUUUUGAGAGGAAGAGAAGGGAGAUUUAGGGGUUUACCUGUGUGGGGCGGUGGCUGGUCGGAGCUGGUCUGAGCGGAGGGAGACAGGGGCGGCGUUGUCGUCGUCUGCCGGAGACAGAGAGGUGAGGCGUCGGAGUCGGCGGACGGUGGUGGUUAGCUCCCGCUGCUACGGCCGUCGGAUCUGUGAACAAGCGAGAGAUUUG
rnacentral:lncRNA from 1 species